rnacentral:rRNA from 1 species
CCUACGGGGGGCUGCAGUGAGGAAUAUUGCACAAUGGGCGAAAGCCUGAUGCAGCGACGCCGCGUGGGUGAAGAAGGUUUUCGGAUCGUAAAACCCUUUUCUGUGUGACGAGAACGGACGGUAGCACAGGAAUAAGUCUCGGCUAACUACGUGCCAGCAGCCGCGGUAAAACGUAGGAGACAAACGUUAUCCGGAGUUACUGGGCGUAAAGGGCGUGUAGGUGGUUUCGUAAGUCUGGCGUGAAAUAUCUCGGCUUAACCGAGGCAGGUCGUCGG